CUUGGAGAAUGUGUCCUCGGGAGUGACAGUUGACUGGCCACAGAGCUCUGAGCUGUGGGGGCCUGCAAGGAACAACACAGGAAGGAAGGGACAGCUGGUCACACUCACAGUGAAGACUCGGCAUAAUGAAAGACACACGGCAACGUCCAUCUCUGCCAGCAUACGGAGAGGCCCGAAGACGCCCUCGGUUAAGUACUUGAGUGGGGACAGGUUCCACGGAGAGUACUUGCCUAGUGUGUGCUAACCCUAAUCCUGUGUCUGAGUCUCUGCUCAAUCUGACACACAUAGAAAAACCAUGGAAGGAACCCCAUCUUUCUGAGGGUGUCAUUUUACUGGUAUUUUAAAGAGGCUGCAUCAUAAAGUGAGCAACCAAGUGAACAGAAUAAAAUCGAGAGGUUCAUCAAAGAAAAUAGCUGACAUAAACUCUCAUCUGUGGCUGAAAGGUUCAAGAGGGAGGGACUGAAUACCAAUGAUCUGAACCCACGGGCGGUAUCACGAGUGCUGAAGUUUCCUCCUACUCCAUGACUUAUGGGAGAACAGCCAGCACCUACCUAGCUUCAUAAAGACUACCACAGGAACACAGGAAAUACAGCAUGCGGAUAACUGAAGGUUACAAAUAUAACUGUAUUUAUACACCGGAUCCUAAUGUUAGCUCUGAGCUGGGUACUAUGUCUUCUGCCAGAGUCCAUGAAGGAGUAACAGGCUAGCUUAUUGGCUUGCAAUUCUUGAUAUAUCAUUACUACCAACACACGUCUCCAGUGUUGCUACCUUGUGGAUUUUAAAGAGGACAUGUGCAUAAAAUAGUACAGAGAAGACUGUACGAAGAAUAUAGAGGAAAGCUCUUGUGAACACUACUACACUAUCUUUAGUAACAACAGCUAAGAUAAAAGGAGAAGAGCAGAGAGGGACUACAGGGCCAGAUCUUCAGGAACCUCAUGAUGACUUACCUAAGCCGUAUUUUGAAUCUUUCUUCAGGUUCACCAAUGCAAUCUCCCUUUCUGGUGAUGACACGAUGCUCCAUCUUUUGUGUAGCACAUCUAUUAGGAAUUUAUAAA